GGUAAUUUAUAUCGUGGAUCAGGGUUCAUAGUGCAUUGUGGACCCUAAUCCAAUAUACAUAAUUUGACUUCACAAUGAUUAGGAAUUACAAU